rnacentral:lncRNA from 1 species
CAAAUGAAUCACCAGUUGGAACCAAAUUCAAUGGGAAACCAGACAAGUCACCAGUUGCAAACAAAUUUGGCAGUAAGCCACGUGGAUUACCAGCUGCAGCCCCAUUCUCUUUGUGCAGAAGAUAUUAGCAGUCAGCAAUGGAUGCAUGAUCUCUCUGCAGAAGAUAUUAGCAGUCAACAAUGGAUGCAUGAUCUCUGUGCAGAAGAUAUUAGCAGUCAGCCUUGGAUGCAUGAUCAGCUAACUAAUUUCUUCACCCCGACAGAAUCGACUCAAGGGAUUUCUUGUCCCCCAAUCUCAGGUACAUUAUUCAAUGUACAUUGGUGAUGAUACCUUUGUUCUUCUACAACUGAGAGUUCUAUUUCACUGAGCCGUGUUUUUGUGUUGGACAAAUUUGCUGUCUCCGUAGCC